ACUAUAGGGGAAGAGAAAUGUCUUUUGGUUUCUGAAUGUUUCCUCUUGAUGUUUCUAUUGCCCUUAAAAGAAAUUUCAGUGAUGGUCCGGAUGACUGGAGGCCACAAUGGAAGGAGUAUAGUAAGCUUGUAUUUGAACUGGAAAGAAAAUCAGUGAAUAUAGAAGUUAUUGCAGUCAAUUCACAUUUGAUUGUUCAAGAUUUCUGCGUGGGGAAACAAACCGGGUCAUUCAGGGGGCCUUUCAGCUCUCCGUAAGAGAAAGCUCAAUUAAACAUGACCAACAAUAAGGACAAUUAAAUCAAGAAUUAUAACAAGAAGCCCUAUUAUCUGCUGUUCCAGAGUUAUUGAAUUCAACCCCUCUGAGAGGCUCUGGGCUUUCCUGUGAUGGUGACAAGAUUGUCCAUGCUGGUCCGAGCAUCCUGUCUUUGCACAUCAGUGACCCGGGCCGUCAAGAAGAAGGGCAUGGCUUCCCCGCAGUGAGUUCUGUGUCAGUGCAGAGGUUCUCUUCAGGGUGAAGAGCCAAGGCUGUUCCUCUGGGAGGAUCAGCCCACGGUCCACAUCAAUUAAGUGAAAGAGCCUACAGAUUAGUUACCUGCUUAAAUGUGUGUACCAAGUCAACUUAUCUACUUGGCAGUUAUCUCUUCUUUAUAAAAUAGGACACAAGAGAAAACAUUUGACUUGUGUUUGGUCAGAUUUCCAAUAAAUAGAUAAUUUUAACCCAGAAUAUUUUGAAUAAUCUCAUUAACAUACCUCUGCAGUUGACUUCUCUGGAUUCAAUCUGAAUAUUACUAGCAAUCGACUGUGACUACACUGGGCCAAACUUCAGAGUCUGGAAUCAUAAAGACCUAAGUUACAGGUAAUGGAGAUGACACCAGUGUCUGGGGCAGUUCAGUAGCAGCAUGAGCAUCAGCCUGAAUGGUGCUCCGAAUACCUAAGUGGGAAACAGAAGGAG